CCUACGGGAGGCAGCAGUGAGGAAUAUUGGUCAAUGGGCGGGAGCCUGAACCAGCCAAGCCGCGUGAAGGAAGAAGGCGCCAGGCGUCGUAAACUUCUUUUGUCGGGGAACAAAGGGCGCCACGUGUGGCGUUGUGAGUGUACCCGAAGAAAAAGCAUCGGCUAACUCCGUGCCAGCAGCCGCGGUAAUACGGAGGAUGCGAGCGUUAUCCGGAUUUAUUGGGUUUAAAGGGUGCGCAGGCGGAGGUGCAAGUCAGCGGUCAAAUUGCGGGGCUCAACCCCGUACUGCCGUUGAAACUGCAUCCC
rnacentral:rRNA from 1 species